ACACUCCUGCGGGAGGCAGCAGUGGGGAAUAUUGCACAAUGGGCGCAAGCCUGAUGCAGCCAUGCCGCGUGUAUGAAGAAGGCCUUCGGGUUGUAAAGUACUUUCAGCGGGGAGGAAGGUGUUGAGGUUAAUAACCUCAGCAAUUGACGUUACCCGCAGAAGAAGCACCGGCUAACUCCGUGCCAGCAGCCGCGGUAAUACGGAGGGUGCAAGCGUUAAUCGGAAUUACUGGGCGUAAAGCGCACGCAGGCGGUCUGUCAAGUCGGAUGUGAAAUCCCCGGGCUCAACCUGGGAACUGCAUUCGAAACUGGCAGGCUAGAGUCUUGUAGAGGGGGGUAGAAUUCCAGGUGUAGCGGUGAAAUGCGUAGAGAUCUGGAGGAAUACCGGUGGCGAAGGCGGCCCCCUGGACAAAGACUGACGCUCAGGUGCGAAAGCGUGGGGAGCAAACAGGAUUAGAUACCCCUGUAGUCCCA
rnacentral:rRNA from 1 species